CCCUCUCUUUCUCGUUUCUUUCAUGUUUAUCCUUUGGCCUUUUUUUCUUUCUUUCUUUCUUUUCUCUACAGCCCGUUGGGCCUUAGAUCAAAUACCAACAUUGUUCUCAUCGAGUGACCUCGAAUUACUACAAGAUGAGUUGUUGGACAUCACUUCUAUGGAGGUCAUUUUCAUCUAAGAUUGUCCCAGAGUAACAUUAUUGCUCGAAAGCAUGAAGAACCUUGCUUCUCUAAGAAAACUGCCAUUGGAGUCCCAAGCCCUACAUAGAUUUACUGAAU
rnacentral:lncRNA from 1 species